CCUACGGGUGGCUGCAGUGGGGAAUAUUGCACAAUGGGGGAAACUCUGAUGCAGCGACGCCGCGUGAGUGAAGAAGUAACUCGGUAUGGUAAGCUCUAUUAGCAGGGAAGAAAAUGACGGUACGUGAGUAAGAAGCUCUGGCUAACUACGUGCCAGCAGCCGCAGGAAUACGUAGGGGGCAAGCGUUAUACGGAUUUACUGGGUGUAAAGGGAGCGUAGAGGGCAGUGCAAGUCUGGAGUGAAAUGCGGGGGCUCAACCCCCGGACUGCUCUGGAAACUGUACGGCUGGAGUGCAGGAGAGGUAAGUGGAAUUCCUAGUGUAGCGGUGAAAUGCGUAGAUAUUAGGAAGAACACCAGUUGCGAAGGCGGCUUACUGGACUGUAACUGACGUUGAGGCUCGAAAGCGUGGGUAGCAAACAGGAUUAGAUACCCCAGUAGUC
rnacentral:rRNA from 1 species